rnacentral:tRNA from 1 species
GUGGUAAUAGCUCAGAGGUAGAGUACAUGUUUAACACGCAUGAGGUCCUGGGUUCAAUCCCCAGUACCUCCA